GGCUCUUUGUAUCAAUAAGGAGUCAUACCUGCCCGGUGAAUGAUUAAACGGCCGCAGUACCCUGACUGUGCUAAGGUAGCAUAAUAAUUUGCCUUUUAAUUGGUGGCUUGUAUGAAUGGUUUGACGAAAGCAUAGCUGUCUCUAAUAUACUAUAUAUAAUUUAUUUUUUAGGUUAAAAUACCUAAAUUUAAUUAAGGGACGAGAAGACCCUAUUGAAUUUUAAAAAAAUAUAAGUAUAAAUCCUAUUUUUAAAAAUUGUUUAUUCAUGUAGAAUUUUGGUUGGGGCAACCGAGGAACAAUAGCAGCUUCCUUAUUAUAAUUAAAAUUACUUUUUUUGAUCCAGUAAAUAUUGAUAACAGGAACUAAUUACCAUAGGGAUAACAGCGUAAUUUCUCUCGAGAGGUCUUAUCGAAAGAGAAGCUUGCGACCUCGAUGUUGGAUUAGGAUGAUUCUAAAGGUUGCAGAAGCUUUUAUGAUUGGUCUGUUCGACCAUUAAAAUCCU
rnacentral:rRNA from 1 species